UACGUAGGGGGCAAGCGUUGUCCGGAUUUAUUGGGCGUAAAGAGCGUGUAGGCGGUUUGGUAGGUCCGCUGUGAAACUCGAGGCUCAACCUCGAGACGCCGGUGGAAACCAUCAGACUAGAGUCCGGAAGAGGAGAGUGGAAUUCCUGGUGUAGCGGUGAAAUGCGCAGAUAUCAGGAAGAACACCCGUGGCUAAGGCGGCGUCUCUAGUACGGUACUGACGCUGAGACGCGAAAGCGUGGGGAGCGAACAGG
rnacentral:rRNA from 1 species